ACUUUUAAAGUAACAAAAUGUGGAACAUUUAUUGAUCCAGAACAUAGGGAUGUUCUGGAUCAAUAAAUGUUCCACAUUUUGUUACUUUAAAAGUAA
rnacentral:miRNA from 1 species